AUUGAACGCUGGCGGCAGGCUUAACACAUGCAAGUCGAGCGGGGGAAGGUAGCUUGCUACCGGACCUAGCGGCGGACGGGUGAGUAAUGCUUAGGAAUCUGCCUAUUAGUGGGGGACAACAUCUCGAAAGGGAUGCUAAUACCGCAUACGUCCUACGGGAGAAAGCAGGGGAUCUUCGGACCUUGCGCUAGUAGAUGAGCCUAAGUCGGAUUAGCUAGUGGGUGGGGUAAAGGCCUACCAAGGCGACGAUGUGUAGCGGGUCUGAGAGGAUGAUCCGGCAAACUGGGCCUGAGAAACGGCCCAGACUCCUACGGGAGGCAGCAGUGGGGAAUAUUGGACAAUGGGGGGAACCCUGAUCCAGCCAUGCGGCGUGUGUGAGGAAGGCCUUAUGGUUGUAAAGCACUUUAAGCGAGGAGGAGGCUACUCUAGUUAAUACCUAGGGAUAGUGGACGUUACUCGCAGUAUAAGCACCGGCUAACUCUGUGCCAGCAGCCGCCGUAA
rnacentral:rRNA from 1 species